CUACAAACAUCAAAAUUUGCACAUGUCGCAUGUAUCCACCUUAACUUUCGUACUAUUAUAAAAUGUGACUAUUUCGGGCUUCGCCUUCACACCAGAUCCCAGCACCCAACGUGACUACCUUUCCCGGUCUCAACUCACGAGGCAGGCAUUCAGAUGCCUCACUGAAAGUGUCUCCAGCAGAGUUCAGGCCUUCAUAAAGAUGAAGAGUGAAACACAAUAUAUUAAUGUCCACUAAUGGAAGAUUGUAUUUUCUGAUCGGAUAGAGUACAAAUACUUGAAUGAAACAACUUAUUGGGAUUGUAAUGUAAUGUUUAUUAGAUCUGUAAAAAACAUACAUUGUUUGAUUCAAUUGAAAUUUUUAUCCCUAUAAUGGAAAAACAUAAAUAUUCCUAAUAAUUAACAUUUAGCACAUUAUAAUUGUACACAUCAACACUCUAGGCCUAUACCAUAUUAAAUCAGAGGUCUACUUACAUAA